AUCACCAGGGAAUCUUGUUAAGAUGCAGAUUCUGAUUCGGUGGGUUUAAGGUGGGGUAAGAGAUUCUGCGUUUCUAGCGAGCUCCCAGGAGAUGCUCG
rnacentral:pre_miRNA from 1 species